UACGGAGGAUGCAAGCGUUAUCCGGAAUGAUUGGGCGUAAAGCGUCUGUAGGUGGCUUUUUAAGUCUGCCGUCAAAUCCCAGGGCUUAACCCUGGACAGGCGGUGGAAACUACCAAGCUGGAGUACGGUAGGGGCAGAGGGAAUUUCCGGUGGAGCGGUGAAAUGCGUAGAGAUCAGGAAGAACACCGGUGGCGAAAGCGCUCUGCUGGACCUUAACUGACACUGAGGGACGAAAGCUAGGGGAGCGAAUGGG
rnacentral:rRNA from 1 species